AGAGUUUGAUCCUGGCUCAGAUUGAACGCUGGCGGCAGGCCUAACACAUGCAAGUCGAGCGGUAGAGAGAAGCUUGCUUUUCUUGAGAGCGGCGGACGGGUGAGUAAUGCCUAGGAAUCUGCCUGGUAGUGGGGGAUAACGUUCGGAAACGGACGCUAAUACCGCAUACGUCCUACGGGAGAAAGCAGGGGACCUUCGGGCCUUGCGCUAUCAGAUGAGCCUAGGUCGGAUUAGCUAGUUGGUGAGGUAAUGGCUCACCAAGGCGACGAUCCGUAACUGGUCUGAGAGGAUGAUCAGUCACACUGGAACUGAGACACGGUCCAGACUCCUACGGGAGGCAGCAGUGGGGAAUAUUGGACAAUGGGCGAAAGCCUGAUCCAGCCAUGCCGCGUGUGUGAAGAAGGUCUUCGGAUUGUAAAGCACUUUAAGUUGGGAGGAAGGGCAGUAAAUUAAUACUUUGCUGUUUUGACGUUACCGACAGAAUAAGCACCGGCUAACUCUGUGCCAGCAGCCGCGGUAAUACAGAGGGUGCAAGCGUUAAUCGGAAUUACUGGGCGUAAAGCGCGCGUAGGUGGUUUGUUAAGUUGGAUGUGAAAUCCCCGGGCUCAACCUGGGAACUGCAUUCAAAACUGACUGACUAGAGUAUGGUAGAGGGUGGUGGAAUUUCCUGUGUAGCGGUGAAAUGCGUAGAUAUAGGAAGGAACACCAGUGGCGAAGGCGACCACCUGGACUAAUACUGACACUGAGGUGCGAAAGCGUGGGGAGCAAACAGGAUUAGAUACCCUGGUAGUCCACGCCGUAAACGAUGUCAACUAGCCGUUGGAAGCCUUGAGCUUUUAGUGGCGCAGCUAACGCAUUAAGUUGACCGCCUGGGGAGUACGGCCGCAAGGUUAAAACUCAAAUGAAUUGACGGGGGCCCGCACAAGCGGUGGAGCAUGUGGUUUAAUUCGAAGCAACGCGAAGAACCUUACCAGGCCUUGACAUCCAAUGAACUUUCUAGAGAUAGAUUGGUGCCUUCGGGAACAUUGAGACAGGUGCUGCAUGGCUGUUGUCAGCUCGUGUCGUGAGAUGUUGGGUUAAGUCCCGUAACGAGCGCAACCCUUGUCCUUAGUUACCAGCACGUCAUGGUGGGCACUCUAAGGAGACUGCCGGUGACAAACCGGAGGAAGGUGGGGAUGACGUCAAGUCAUCAUAGCCCUUACGGCCUGGGCUACACACGUGCUACAAUGGUCGGUACAGAGGGUUGCCAAGCCGCGAGGUGGAGCUAAUCCCACAAAACCGAUCGUAGUCCGGAUCGCAGUCUGCAACUCGACUGCGUGAAGUCGGAAUCGCUAGUAAUCGCGAAUCAGAAUGUCGCGGUGAAUACGUUCCCGGGCCUGUAAACGCCGCCCGUC
rnacentral:rRNA from 1 species